ACAGCGGCCUGCGAAGCACUGACCCCCUCCUCACCCUCUUCAUCUUCUCCUGCGGACUCAAAGGCCACUCCAAACUCACAGGAAGAACUGAAAAGAACCAGACAACAUUUGGCAACACCUCUUCCCUCUUUGAGGGAAGGAGUGGAGUCUGUUUUUAUGUCCCCUGAGGAGCCUGGCAUAUGGUAUGGGUGACCUCCCAGUGCUGUGUGUCCCUGGCAUUCUUGCUGCUGGCCUGGGAAGGAUCUUGCCCUCAGCCAGAAACUUCCAUCGACAGCAGCCGGUCCACACCCAGAAGGCACGCUGGGCCGGCCCCGUUGAGGGAGCGUCCUGUGGGCUGGGGACAUGGGAGCUCCAAAGGGCUGCUCAGGAGGCCCACAGGGACUGCCCUUUAAUCCCAUCUACGUUUCCUGUAGUUCCAACCCAGGAGGCAACCGGGGCUUCUGAACAUUGGCCAUUAUGCCUCACUACGCCAACUCUCGGACCCACUGUUUCAGGACCAUCUGGCGUUUGGGCAGAGGGCGGACCCCAAACCUGAAGGGGGAAACAGCUCCAACUCUUCAUCUGAAUCCAAUAAAAGGAUAACCUCAUCUUCUCUGUUCAUGCUGGAUGGAGAAUUCUGAGAUCUGGAG